ACGAACGCUGGCGGCGUGCCUAAUACAUGCAAGUAGAACGCUGAAGGAGGAGCUUGCUUCUCUGGAUGAGUUGCGAACGGGUGAGUAACGCGUAGGUAACCUGCCUGGUAGCGGGGGAUAACUAUUGGAAACGAUAGCUAAUACCGCAUAAUAUUGACUAUUGCAUGAUAGUCAGUUGAAAGGUGCAACUGCACCACUACCAGAUGGACCUGCGUUGUAUUAGCUAGUUGGUGGGGUAACGGCUCACCAAGGCGACGAUACAUAGCCGACCUGAGAGGGUGAUCGGCCACACUGGGACUGAGACACGGCCCAGACUCCUACGGGAGGCAGCAGUAGGGAAUCUUCGGCAAUGGACGGAAGUCUGACCGAGCAACGCCGCGUGAGUGAAGAAGGUUUUCGGAUCGUAAAGCUCUGUUGUAAGAGAAGAACGAGUGUGAGAGUGGAAAGCUCACACUGUGACGGUAUCUUACCAGAAAGGGACGGCUAACUACGUG
rnacentral:rRNA from 1 species